rnacentral:misc_RNA from 1 species
GUUGCAUGCUGAGUUUGGGGGAGCAGAAGAGUCUCGCGGGGAUAGUCAGUGCGCAGGGAGACUAGCACAGGCCGGCAGAGAAGUGACCCAGCCCCGGAUUGCCUGGUAACCUUCCGUUCCCAGGAGGCUGCUGUGAGGCUCCUCUGGCUUCAUGGAGUAUAAUGGACCCACAGCCAUCUCCUUCCCCAACACCAACUCUGCCUGCAUUUUAGGCCAGGUUUGUAGGAGAGCUGAAUGAAGAUUGAAUGAAUGAAUGAUGAAAAGUACAAAAUGCCAUCACUUCACUUCUUUCAGGAAGACCCAGGACACUCUGCUGCAUCCUCCACCUGUUUGUGAAUUAAAUGUCCAUGAUGGCUUUUACUAAGCACUUACUAUGUGCCAGGCACUGUGCUGAGCUCUGCACCUUUAAGAGGCAGCAAGUCGUGACUGGUUCAGAGCUGGCUCAGAGCUGCCUGAGUUGGAAGCCUCGGAUAGGAAAAUGGAAGCUUAAAGAGGUUAAGCCCUGGCCAAGCACAGUAGCUCAUGCCUGUAAUUCC